GGGAGCGUAGCUCAGUUGGUAGAGCAGUGGCCUUUUAAGCCAUUGGUCCGGGGUUCGAGCCCCCGCGCUCCUACCA
rnacentral:tRNA from 2 species